rnacentral:rRNA from 1 species
CCCGCCCCGAUGUCAAGACAAAGCCGGCUGUCUAAGUAAAAAUGGUAUACAGUAAAACUGCGAAUGGCUCAUCCAUAACAGUUAUAGUUUAUUUGGUAAUCGAAUUUACAUGGAUAACCGUGGUAAUUCUAGAGCUAAUACAUGCUGUAAAGCCCGACUUCUCGGAAGGGCCGUAUUUAUUAGAUAACAGACCAGCAGCUUCGGCUAUUGUGGUGAAUCAUAGUAACUAAUCGGAUCGCAUGGGCUACGCCCGCGACAAACCAUUCAAGUUUCUGCCCCAUCAACUUUCGAUGGGAGUGAUUGGACUACCAUGGCUUUUCGGGUAACGAGGAUUAGGGUUAGAUUCCGGAGAGGGAACCUGAGAAGCGGCAACACAUCAAAGGAAGGCAGCAGGCGCGUAAUUACCCAAUUCUGAUUCAGAGAGGUGUGAAAGAAAUAACGGGUCGGGACAUUGUCCCGGAUUGUUUGAAACAACUUAACCCCUUUCCGUAAAAAUUGGA